rnacentral:rRNA from 1 species
UAAGAACCCAAUGAAUGAUGUUGCAAUAUCAUCACAAAAACAACUAUCAGCGGCUACAUACCUCCCGCACUAGAAAAUACCUGGUUUUUCACUAACCCAGUCUAAGCUGUAAAAGUUGAAUUUUCCCCCCCGCCUCAACUAUGCAACUAAAUUGAGGACAAGCUCAAUUUACCUGCCUUAUUCCCCCAAAAUAGCCACCCACAUGUAGGCCCAAAAUCAGCCAUCACAAAUCCCGUUACAGAAUAACCACAAAAAAAAUAAAAUAAAAAUACACCCUCAGUGAAAUAGAAAUUAUAACUUAAAAAUCCCAAACCCCUGCAAAGACUAGUAUUCCUCCCACCACUCUCAAACUACACCCCCAUCCAUAUAUAAGGAAAAGGAACUCGGCAAACCUCUAUUCCGCCUGUUUAACAAAAACAUCGCCUAUAGAAAACCCCCAUUAUAGGUACAUCCUGCCCAGUGAACCAUUUAAACGGCCGCGGUACCCUGACCGUGCAAAGGUAGCAUAAUCAUUUGCCUUUUAAUUGAAGGCUGGCAUGAAUGGACAAACGAGAAUAGCCCUGUCUCUUCCCUAUCCACAAAAACUUACCCCCAGGUGAAGAGGCCUGGAUUCAUAUAAAAGACAAGAAGACCCUGUCGAGCUUUAAUUCAACUCAGAACCUAAAAACUUAUUCAAUAUUGCCCCCCCUAAGAAGAAUAUUUGUUGGGGCGACAAUGGAACAGAAAAACCUUCCACCACACAUAAGACCUCCAGUCCACCCACAGAUCCCAAACCGAUCAUAGAAACCAGCUACCGCAGGGAUAACAGACUAAUCCUCCCCAAGAGCCCAAAUCUACAGGAGGGCUUGGCACCUCGAUGUUGGCUUAAGAUCUCUCCUAAGCGCAGAAGCCUAGAAAGUGGGUUUGUUCAACCCUUAAUAUCUUACAUGAGCUGAGUUCAGACCAGCGU